rnacentral:rRNA from 3 species
AAGGUGGGACAAAUGAUUGGGGUGAAGUCGUAACAAGGUAGCCGUAUCGGAAGGUGCGGCUGGAUCACCUCCUUUCUAAGGA